CCUACGGGUGGCAGCAGUGGGGAAUAUUGCACAAUGGGGGAAACCCUGAUGCAGCGACGCCGCGUGAGUGAAGAAGUAUCUCGGUAUGUAAAGCUCUAUCAGCAGGGAAGAAAAUGACGGUACCUGACUCAGAAGCCCCGGCUAACUACGUGCCAGCAGCCGCGGUAAUACGGAGGGGGCAAGCGUUAUCCGGAUUUACUGGGUGUAAAGGGAGCGUAGACGGCAGCGCAAGUCUGGAGUGAAAUCCCGGGGCGCAACCCCGGAACUGCUUUGGAAACUGUGCAGCUUGAGUGCAGGAGAGGUAAGCGGAAUUCCUGGUGUAGCGGUGAAAUGCGUAGAGAUUAGGAGGAACACCAGUGGCGAAGGCGGCGUACUGGACUGUAACUGACGUUGAGGCUCGAAAGCGUGGGGAGCAAACAGGAUUAGAUACCCGGGUAGUC
rnacentral:rRNA from 1 species